rnacentral:rRNA from 1 species
UGUAGUCAUAUGCUUGUCUCAAAGAUUAAGCCAUGCAUGUCUAAGUAUAGACAACUUUAUACUGUAAAACUGCGAACGGCUCAUUAUAUCAGCAAUAAUUUAUUUGAUGAUUUCUUACUACAUGGAUAACUGUAGUAAUUCUAGAGCUAAUACAUGCGCAAAGUCCUGACUCGCGAGGGGAGGGAUGUAUUUAUUAGAUACAAAACCAAUGCGGGUUCUGCUCGCCAUUGUGUUGAAUCAUAGUAACUUAUCGGACGCCAUAGCCUUGUGCUGGGCGUAGAUCAUUCAAAUUUCUGCCCUAUCAGCUUUCGACGGUAGUGUAGUGGACUACCGUGGCGUUAACGGGUAACGGGGA